AUGCACGCUGGCGGCGUGCCUAAUACAUGCAAGUCGAGCGAACAGACGAGGAGCCUGCUCCUCUGACGUUAGCGGCGGACGGGUGAGUAACACGUGGAUAACCUACCUAUAAGACUGGGAUAACUUCGGGAAACCGGAGCUAAUACCGGAUAAUAUAUUGAACCGCAUGGUUCAAUAGUGAAAGACGGUUUUGCUGUCACUUAUAGAUGGAUCCGCGCCGCAUUAGCUAGUUGGUAAGGUAACGGCUUACCAAGGCAACGAUGCGUAGCCGACCUGAGAGGGUGAUCGGCCACACUGGAACUGAGACACGGUCCAGACUCCUACGGGAGGCAGCAGUAGGGAAUCUUCCGCAAUGGGCGAAAGCCUGACGGAGCAACGCCGCGUGAGUGAUGAAGGUCUUCGGAUCGUAAAACUCUGUUAUUAGGGAAGAACAAAUGUGUAAGUAACUAUGCACGUCUUGACGGUACCUAAUCAGAAAGCCACGGCUAACUACGUG
rnacentral:rRNA from 1 species